GAUGAACGCUGGCGGCGUGCUUAACACAUGCAAGUCGAACGGAAAGGCCCAAGCUUGCUUGGGUACUCGAGUGGCGAACGAGUGAGUAACACGUGGGUGAUCUGCCCUGCACUUCGGGAUAAGCCUGGGAAACUGGGUCUAAUACUGGAUAGGACCACUUCUUGGAUGUUGUGGUGGAAAGUUUUUUCGGUGUGGGAUGAGCUCGCGGCCUAUCAGCUUGUUGGUGGGGUAAUGGCCUACCAAGGCGUCGACGGGUAGCCGGCCUGAGAGGGUGUACGGCCACAUUGGGACUGAGAUACGGCCCAGACUCCUACGGGAGGCAGCAGUGGGGAAUAUUGCACAAUGGGCGCAAGCCUGAUGCAGCGACGCCGCGUGGGGGAUGACGGCCUUCGGGUUGUAAACUCCUUUCGCUAGGGACGAAGCGUUUUGUGACGGUACCUGGAGAAGAAGCACCGGCUAACUACGUG
rnacentral:rRNA from 1 species